rnacentral:ncRNA from 1 species
CAUAGGUUUGGUCCCAGCCUUCCUAUUGGCUGUAAGUAAAACUACACAUGCAAGUAUCCGCACUCCAGUGAGAAUGCCCUCUGAAUCACUCGUGAUAAAAAGGAGCAGGUAUCAAGCACACCAUAAGGUUGCUCAUAACGCCUUGCUUAGCCACACCCCCACGGGAAACAGCAGUGAUAAAAAUUAAGCAAUGAACGAAAGUUUGACUAAGUUAUACUUACAAGGGUUGGUAAAUUUCGUGCCAGCCGCCGCGGUCAUACGAUUAACCCUAGUCAAUAGGCAUACGGCGUAAAGCGUGUUUAAGACUACCCACAAAAUAAAGCUAAACUCUAGCUAAUCUGUAAAAAGUCCUAGCUACUGUAAACCCCACUACUAAAGUGGCUUUAGGUUAUCCGAAUACACGACAGCUAAGACCCAAACUGGGAUUAGAUACCCCACUAUGCUUAGCCGUAAACAUAAGAAAUUAGCUUAACAAAAUUUCUCGCCAGAGUACUACUAGCCAAAGCUUAAAACUCAAAGGACUUGGCGGUGCUUCAUAUCCAUCUAGAGGAGCCUGUUCUAUAAUCGAUAAACCCCGAUAAACCUCACCAACUCUUGCUAAUACAGCCUAUAUACCGCCAUCUUCAGCAAACCCUAAAAAGGAGCAACAGUAAGCUCAAUCAUCAUACAUAAAAACGUUAGGUCAAGGUGUAGCCCAUGAGUUGGAAAGAAAUGGGCUACAUUACCUAUAACUAGGUCAUCUAUACGAAAGCCCUUGUGAAACCAAGAGCUAAAGGUGGAUUUAGCAGUAAAUCAAGAAUAGAGUGCUUGAUUGAAUUAGGCCAUGAAGCACGCACACACCGCCCGUCACCCUCCUCAAGCCCUAACAAUAUUACCACAACCAUAUUACCAAAUAUUACACGCGCUAGAGGAGAUAAGUCGUAACAAGGUAAGCGUACUGGAAAGUGCGCUUGGACAAUC